AGGAAAAUGGGGAAUGGAUCAUUGUUAGCUGAGAGGAAGAUGACAAUCAGGCAUACAAUCAGAAAAAAUAAUCAGGAGGUGAGUGAAACUAGUCGGAGAACUAGGGUGGG